CACCCAGUGGUGAUACCAGGCUAGGAGCCCUGGUGUGGGCGGUGCUGGGACUGCCUUCUUCUCUUUGUAAUCAUGGACAGAGGCCGGCCCGGGGCGUCUGGGGCCCUCUCUGCUUUACCUCCACGACUUGAGGAUGCUCGGGACAAGUUAGAACUACCAUCUAUGGACACAGACGGUUUGGGGGCAUUUUUCUCUCCUGGAAUAUUUGCGAGUAGGAAAACACCUUCUGUAUCAUGCUGAAUCGCUUCCCUCGUCUUUGUCUGCCUUUCUUCAAGGUUUGCAAGUGGUUGUGAUUAGCCGGUUACGUUUUUCUCACGUUCUGUGAGGCUUCUGCACUGGUUGUGCACCGCAAACCGGAAGAAGUCGGGUGGCCGCUUGAGUCUGCAUCCCUUGCACGGUCUUGGCAAUACGACUGGUAAUGCAGGGGCGUUCUUCUUCCCCCUCCCCUCCCUUCUACUCCCCGUCCAUUGAGACAUACAGGUGCUCUUUGCCCUUCAUUCACAAUUGUCUCAGUGCUCCGGUGGUGGGGAGAGAAAGACUAAGUAGAGUAUAAGAAGCAAAUUGUUACUCAAGCAUAGAGGAUGGAGUGUGUUGGCCAUGGCUGGGUCAGGGAAGAUUCUCUCAACUGGCGUUUCCUAACUCCGGCUGUGUGAUAGAAUCACUGGGAGUUUUUUGUAACUAAUACUGAUCUGGGAUGGGACCCUUGGCACUGGAAAAUUUGAAUCUCCUCAGGGCAUUGUAAUGUGUAGUCAAGCCUGAGAUUUGCUGUUAUAAACCAAUGUUUCUUAACAACACCUGGGUGCUAAGCACAGCUGCAUUUUGGUGUGACUUCCUUUUCAUAACCACAAGCCAUGCUAAGGAGGGUUGGAGGCUGCCACCUAUGGGGUAGAAGUCCGCUCCACAACCCUAAGUUUAGACAGGUAACAAUAGGAAGUAGGUUACCUCAGGGCCAGGUGGGCAAGAUUUAAAAAAAAUGCAAUUUCUGAGGGCAGCAAACAAUCCCCAGCUGAGGAUGACAGAGGCCGGAACCAAUUCAGGAGUAUGAGCCAAGGAUUUCGGUGCCGAGAGAGCAAACUACCGGGGUCAGAUCAUCCCAGGCCCCUGGAGCCAGCACAGGGAUAAAGCUUCAUUCCAGGACCAACUGCGGCUCAAGGCAGGAACUCCAUGUCCUGGGCCAGCACUGGGUUAAGGGAGUCUCUGGUUUUUGCCGAAGGGUCCCAUUCCUUGAGAAAAAUGGCUCUCUGAAGACCUGAGUGCAAGGACAGCAUAAACAAUGUCUGUCUCACAUCACACACUGUCCUCCUCCUCACCCUGUCCCAUAGGAAAGACUGAUGUUCCACAGAGUGAACCAGGCUUGAGCUGAACUAGUGAGGCAAGAACCACAAAUAAGUAACCUGUUACCUGGGAACAGAGCAGCAAUUCUUUCAUAAAUGAAUGUCAACGAGGUAUAAUUUUCUGCUGUAGCAGAAUUUCUACACCUGACAGUAUUCUUAAUAUACUUUAAUUAAGAGGUUAAUCUAUUGUAGAAAUUGCUUUUCUCUGAAGCCACCUGAAAUCAAUUUAAACUCAAUUACAAGUGGUUAGCUAUUGUUUAUGUGGUUAAAGAUUAGAGAAUACAUUUUUGCUUGUCAGGAGCCAUCCGAGCAAAUUUUGAAUGUCAUGAUCAGAGGAGAGUCUGAAUAGUUGAGUGCUCUUUAAUGGGCAUAGAGAAACCAUUAGAAAAUAUAAUCAGUCAUAUUUGAUGACUGGACCUUGGGACUCAGCUAGAAAAGGGUCUAAUCAUUUCUGUCCCUUAAGUGCCAUGAGGAUUGCUCUGCUGAAAUUAAUUGAUCAUUACGUGCUUUCUGAGAGCCUAAUAUACCCUAUUUGAUGGAAUAUAAAUUGCAAAAAUAAUCUGUAAAUUAUAUAACAAGCUUCAGAAUACAUUUGCCCUCUGUCUCUUUCGCACAGAUUAAAUCUGACAGCUAGUUUCAAAAUGAUCAAAAUUGCUUAACUCCUCCAAUAGUUUGGAAUGCUUGAGUUUUACAAAGGAAAAAAAAAAUCUAUUGCCUGCCGUUUGCCCAGUAUAUAAAUUUGAAUUACAAUCCAUUUUCCAUCAGCAAAACGUAGAGAUAAAAAGAGGUCUGAAAAGGUUUUUGGGGGGCUUGAAUGCAUUAUUUUAUUCAAUUGCUUAGUAAGGUACUUAGCUGCUAUUAAAAAUUUGGAUGCAUGUCAGAGAGAAAGUAGCUGUUUUGAAUCCUAUCCACUUCCACACUAAGUAUAUGAAAGACUUACAUGCCUCUAAUAGGGCAGCCAGCUUGCUAAUGUGAUAUCCCAUAGUCUGGUUGAACGACACACAAUGACAGCACCCUCCACUGAUUAUCGGCGGGUUAAAGGUUUCUUGUCAGCCUUUCAGGUGUCAGAAUGAUGAAUCCAAUUACCUCCUCUGUUUGUGUGGAUUCUUCUGGGAUCAAGACAUUCUGCCAUGAUAGCAUACACAUUCCAUGACAUUUUGGUUAAAGUUGCAGCAAAGUCUUUUCUCUAGAACUCUUCCCCUCCAGAGAAUUAUUUUCAAAUUUUUCCUUUGGGUUGACACUUCUCGUAUUUGAAAUAAACCUUCCAGGAUUUUCUUCCAUAAAUGUUGAAUGGUUAACUAUUGAGUAGAGGACCAUCUGUUCCUGCCUAAUUGGUGUAAUGAGGGAAGACCACAUUUUUGGAGCCUGGAAAGAAAAAAAAAAAAAACCCAAACGUGCGAUGAAGCGGGUUUCAGAGUAGUGUUUAGCAGAAGAGGCUGGGGCAGCUCCCUAAAUGCCAGGACAGUGGGAUGUUUUCUGGGAACUGGGUCUUUGAAAGCUAGUUAUCUCUUGGGAGUUGAGUGAGGGGUGAAGUCAGCUAUGGGGACCACGUUUAUAUUACGUUAGGAUUCUAGGUUGGACUCCAGAGGUUCAAAUCCUGGCUCUGUCACUUGCUAAUUGUGAGAGCCUUCGGGGAAGACCUCUUAGCUUCUUAAAGCCUCAGUUUCCCCCAACUGUCAAAUGAGGCUAGUAAUGAAGAUUUAGUGCGGGAGUGUGUAUAAAGUGCUCGGUGGAAUGUCAGGCAUGCUCACUUCCUAAGCUUUUCAUCAUAGUCAAAGCAGAGCAUAAAAUGACUUGGUGUCUCUCUUUUCUAAGCCCUAAAUAGGGGUCCAUGAUUUGAGAAAGACUUUUUUUCCUUGGCUGGUGAAAUUUUGGUAUGAAGUCUUUCAGAGAUACCAAAACGAAGCUGCGUUUGAUUUUUCAUUUCACAACUACCUUGAUGACAACUCCUCUUGGAGUGAGGGUGGAGGGAAGGGAUCGGAAGGAUAAGCUGUGCGUCGGGAAGGGGGGGCGUCUCUGCGUGGUAGUCUCACUUCCUCCAUAAAGCAGCUGUGGGAGCUUGAGAGCAAGAAGUCCCUCCUCCUCUGUGCUCAGUUUGUGCCAAAUGACAGGGUUGAACAGAUAGAUGACCGUUAAGGUGGCUUAGAGCACUGAGAUUCCAUGAUCGUGUAUUGCUCGCCGUCUCUGUGAGAACGUUCCCUGCUCCACACCCAGGCCACAGGCAAAAGGUGGGCACAGACGGGGCAGCACGGUAGUAUGGUGACUGGGGCUUUCACCCUCAUGCUGCUUGACCUCUCUGUUCAUGACCCCCAUGGUCCCACUUGGGUGGCCCCAUUCACUAAGGCUCGGUUUUAACAGCCUUUAAAAAUCAUGUCUCCCCUUUGAGAGACCCAGAACAAAAAUCCUGUACUUCCUGGGUUCGUUCCACCCUGGGAGACGCUAAGCAGCCCCCAUCGUAUCCCCUGACACCCCUUCCCUGCUUUGUGAUUUGAAGACUAUCUUCUCUUCCCACCUCGUCCUGCGCUUCCCCAAACAUCCACCCUCAGCAGAGGCAUUAAAAGGGCACCGUGAGGGCCAGAUUCAGCCCACAGAUGAUGUCACUUGCCCUGCCCCCCACCCCAAAAAGGUUUUCCACAAUUGGUAUUAAUUCCCAGCAUAUAAAAAUCAGAAGAUUUCACAUAAAACCCAGAUUUCCAGCUUCUUUUGAAAAAAACAACAAAGAGGAAAAUAUGAGCAGAAUGUCCCCCUAGGAGGAUGACCUCAUUCUUAUACCAGAGGGUGAAUAGUCUGGUCAGGAAGUGAAAAGGGCGACACCCUGAUUCUGUACUCUGGAGAGUCUCAGGAGCAAGGUGAGAGAUGUCCCCUCGAGCCUCUUCGAACCGGCCGAGGACCAUCAAGUUAAUGAGUCACCGGGAGACCCUUGGUGCAAAGAAGCCUCAAGGAAGAGACUCAUUCCUGCCCCCUGGCUUGCUUCACUCCCAGCUGCCUGCCAGGUGCUCGAAGGCAUUAGUCUGUGCUCCUCCCACGGGCUCAUACCUUUUAAGAGUUUCAGUUCUGUGAGAUUCAAUCCUUGUGAACAUGCAAAUCCCUCAAACAGGAAUUGCACUUUGAGAUUUAAAUAAAUUAUACGUCGUCACCGAUUGUAUGUUUUGCUGGGAACUGAGACGAGAGGGCCUGGGGGCAUAGAGGUUCUAGGCUGGGCCAGAGGGUUAAACCAAGAAGCUGGGAGAGGUGAGAGAGGGGGUGGGGCUGGACAAAGGACGGAUGGCUCACAAAUCUCCCUGGACCAGAAGUUCUGAAAGUGAGCACGGGGUAGGGUGAGAUAGGGAGUGCCAUGGCCCUCACUCAGUGGGGUGAUCAUCUUGCUUCCACACAUUGUCUUGGGAGGAUUGGUGCUCCCAGCCAUCUGCGUCCGUAGGAGGACAAAAAGUCCUCAGGGGCAACAGAACGGUGAACAGGAGGUCUGGAGCAACCUCAGUGCAACGAAUUUUAGGACCGGAACACAUGUAAAUAGCAUGCUGCCUGUGGACCUAAUUUUCCUUGGACGCUAAAUUGCCUUCCACCUCUGAAUUUCUGUAAUUCUGGUUUCUUUUGCCAUCCCACGACAACGGUGACUUUGGGCCACACGUGAGGGGUCAACACUAGUGUAAACCUGCAUUUGACUUCACAUGAUACUCCACGGUUUGUUUGUCUGUCAGGUCACAGGUGAGUCCUGUUGAAAGCAAUCCUGCAGAAAUUGUACUCUAGAGAAGGUUCGUAUUAGAACCACAGCAUCACUAAAUCAAAACUAGUGAGGACAAUACCACCAGUGGCUAACGUCAACCCAUGAGAUUGGGUUCAAUGUGCCGGUCAAUGACUGACCUCAGAGAGAGUCAAAGGCCAUGAAAUCAAUAUCUACAUAGUAACUUCAGUACGAUACUCAGCAUCACCUUGAAUGGAGUCAUUCAUUUGCGAACCCAGUUACUGAACCGAAUGCAAGAACAGAUGCCCUCAGAGUACACGUGCAGACAAAAGGAAAUUCCGACUGAGGAGAUAAUCUCCAUUGAUUUAGUCGUACAAUGAAAGGUUUCACUCCUGUGCAAAAUACUUUAACAGGCAAAGGCUUUCUGCUUUGUACUCUAAAAGCUCUAACUCCAUUUCCCUAGAAAUUGCAAGCAUACUGUCACAUUAAAUUCAGCUGAAUUGUCUGACAUGGAAUUUGGGGGUUGAAUCAUUUUGUCUAAAAAGGAAAAAAAGUAGAUCAUUUGCUUUUUCUCUCCAUAAUUCUUUUGUUCAGUCACUGGGUACUUCAGCCCAAUCCUACUGACGGACUGAAAUAUGGCUUAUGCUGCAUGCAGACGUGAUAUGAGAUUUGGGUUGUCCACUAAAGCUGUCAGAAUAUUUUUAGAAACAUAGUUAAAAACACAUUUCUGUCAUCCGUACGCAACUAUCAUUAUCCGUAUUUCUCCUCUAACCUUUUGUAUGUCCAUUGAUAUGUUGUAAUAAAAGUUAACACGCA